GGUCAUUUGGUACCUGACCCUUGGCUUCAAAAUAACCUGUAUGUUUACGUAUACUGUGCAUAUGGGGAAGUUAUCAGUGUACUUGCAAUAUGUGCUGUGGUCAGAAGGGCUGUAGUCAUACAUGUGUUACAUUACUUCAAUAGCUGUUCUAUCAGUUGACACCUAUCCAGCGAGUAUUCUAUGCCCUAGGCACACAGGGAAGGAAAUUACAAACAGAAACAAGACAACAACAGAAAUGGAAGUAGGAGAAAGCAUACUGUCACCUCAUAGGGUGUGAAGAGGUCCUCUCAAAGAGCACGUGGGAGCUGCAACUCAGCUUGGGUGAUUUCUGGAGUCAGCAUUGCAGAAAAGCAGUGAGAGGACAAUUUAGAGAGAGGCACAGGAGAAAAUAGGGAAGGGGCUUCAGUUUGAGGAGCUGAAAGAGGGCAUGGCUCUAUUGGAGAGGAUUGGACUGGCCUGGUAACCAAAGGAAGAGAACAGCUUUGAAGGAGUUGUUGGGAUUGGUAGGGUUUGGAUGAUCAUUGUCUCGGUUCUGGUUUUGCAGGCUGGCUCUGGACAAGUCCUUAUUUCUCAAGUGGGCACCUUUGUCUCCAUGAGAUGGUGGUGUAUGCUUUGCUCAGUCUAAAUUUUGUGAGGGCUCUGCCGGCAUCCAAGCAAAAAUAAAUUUUAAUCCCCGACUGCCUUAGAAGAAAUUUCAGCUCAAGCUUCUAAGGAGGAACAGACCACAUGUUCAAGAGGGCAGCAUGAGAAGAUGAAGGAAUGCAGCUCCCUGUCCUGGUCCUGGAAGAAGAGCUGCCCCU